ACGGACCGAAGCGCUUUCCCCUCCUAGCCACUUCGGUCCGACGGACAGCACUUCUCCUCCCAGGCUGUCGGUCACUAUCGAAGCCCGGCGCAUCUCUCCCGCGCCGGGCUUUUGCC
rnacentral:sRNA from 1 species